GACGAACGCUGGCGGCGUGCUUAACACAUGCAAGUCGAACGGGCCUGUCUUCUUUUUUGGGGGUGGGUUGAGUGGCGAACGGGUGAGUAUCACGUGAGUAACCUGCCCUUCGGUCCUGGAUAACCGCUUGAAAGGGCGGCUAAUACGGGGUGGUCCGGUUGGUCCGCAUGGGCUGGUCGGGAUAGAUUCACUGCUUUUGGUGUUUCGGCGGGGGAUGGGCUCGCGGCCUAUCAGCUUGUUGGUGGGGUGAUGGCCUACCAAGGCGGUGACGGGUAGCCGGCCUGAGAGGGUGGGCGGCCACACUGGGACUGAGAUACGGCCCAGACUCCUGCGGGAGGCAGCAGUGGGGGGUAUUGCACAAUGGGCGGAAGCCUGAUGCAGCGACGUCGCGUGAGGGAUGGAGGCCUUCGGGUUGUGAACCUCUGUUUCCGGUGGUGAAGGCCCUGUCCGUGUGGUGGGGUUGACGGUAGCCGGGGAUGAAGCGCCGGCUAACUACGUG
rnacentral:rRNA from 1 species